GCGGAAGUGACGUCACGGAAAGCGGCUGGCCGGGCGGAAGUGAAGGCGGCGGGAAAAGCGGAGUUUCUCCCCAUUCUGGGAUUUUUUGCCGCCUCUCGUCGGGAAUUUUGGAUCCUGGAAUAUUUUGGGGAAUUUUUGGAAUUUCUCCCC